CAGAACGAACGCUGGCGGCGCGUUUAAGCAUGCAAGUCGAGCGGCAAGGGCCUUCGGGCCCCUAGAGCGGCGGACGGGUGAGUAACACGUGGACAAUCUGCCCCCGGCCCGGGAUAGCCCAGGGAAACCUGGAUUAAUACCGGAUGAGACGGGACCCGCGAUGGCGGGAUCCGGGAAAGGCGCUGCGGCGCCGCCGGGGGAUGAGUCUGCGUCCCAUUAGCUAGACGGCGGGGUAACGGCCCACCGUGGCGACGAUGGGUAGCCGGCCUGAGAGGGUGGACGGCCACAUUGGAACUGAGACACGGUCCAGACUCCUACGGGAGGCAGCAGCUAAGAAUCUUCCGCAAUGGGCGAAAGCCUGACGGAGCGACGCCCGCGUGAACGAAGAAGGCCGUGAGGUUGUAAAGUUCUUUUCGGGAGGGGGAACAACCGUGGCAGGGAAUGGCCGCGGGAUGACGUGAAUCCCGGAAUAAGCCCCGGCUAACUACGUGCCAGCAGCCGC
rnacentral:rRNA from 1 species